rnacentral:tRNA from 1 species
GGAGGGGUGGCCGAGUGGCCGAAGGCGGCGGUUUGCUAAACCGUUAUACGGGGAUAACCCGUAUCGUGGGUUCGAAUCCCAUCCCCUCCGCCA